rnacentral:rRNA from 1 species
AUGGGAAGCACUCAGGACGUGAACCUGAUCCACAACAGCACACUCGAGGACGGCUGUGCACCAUUCGGCUCACGCACGACGACACUGUCCAUGCACAACGAGGAGGAGACGGCCAUGCUCCCCGUCACCGUGGGUGGCAGCAAGCCCAGCGGCCGGUACAUCCUGGUGGCGGGGCGUGCCGACGAGAAGGACGGCCUGCGCCAACCGAUCACGUCGGGCGGCCUGAAGCCUCGGGUCACGUACCGCGUGGCCGGGUGGAUCAGACUGGGCGCAGGCGCGCCGCGGGGGACGGUGCGCAUCAGCCUUGGUGUGGACGACAAUGGCAACGAGACCAUGGUGGAGUGCGGCGCGGUGUGCGCUGAGACGGGCGGGUGGACGGAGAUCAUGGGCGCCUUCCGGCUCAGGACGGAGCCGCGCAGCGCCGCGGUUUACGUCCACGGUGCCACCGCCGGCGUCGACGUCAAGGUCAUGGAUCUUCGUGUCUUCCAGACGGACCGCAAGGCGCGCUUCAGGCAACUCAAGGACAAGACUGACAAGGCGCGCAAGAGGGACGUGGUCAUCAAGCUGGGCGCGGCGACGGGAGCGGCGUCCGUGCGCGUCGUGCAGAUGGAUAGCGCCUUCCCAUUCGGGACAUGCAUCAACACGACGGUGAUCCAGAACCCAGCCUUCGUCGACUUCUUCACCAACCACUUGGACUGGGCCGUCUUCGAGAACGAGCUCAAAUGGUACCACACGGAGGCGCAGCAAGGGCAGCUCAAUUACCGCGACGCCGACGCGCUCCUCGACUUCUGUGACCGCCUCGGCAAGCGCGCCCGUGGUCAUUGCGUCUUCUGGUCCGCGGACGGCGCUGUGCAGCAGUGGGUCAAGAACCUCGACCGCGACCAGCUCAGGUCCGCCGUCCAAAGCCGCAUCCAGAGCCUGGUGUCCCGCUACGCCGGCAGGUUCCCGCACUACGAUGUCAACAACGAGAUGCUGCACGGCCGCUUCUUUCGGGACCGCCUCGGCGACGAGGACGUCCCGGCGUUCAUGUUCAAGGAGGUCGCUCGCCUGGACCCGGAGGCCGCGCUCUUCGUCAACGACUACAAUGUGGAGUGCGCCAACGAUCCCAACGCGACUCCGGACAAGUACGCCGAGCAGGUCACAUGGCUGCAGAGCUGCGGCGCCGUGGUGCGCGGCAUCGGGCUGCAGGGCCACAUCAGCAACCCCGUCGGGGAGGUCGUCUGCGGCGCCCUCGACAGGCUCGCCGUCACGGGCGUGCCCGUCUGGUUCACCGAGCUGGACGUGUGCGAGCCCGACGUUGGCCUCCGCGCCCAGGACCUGGAGGUGGUGCUCCGGGAGGCGUACGCGCACCCGGCGGUGGAGGGCGUCGUGUUCUGGGGCAUCAUGCAGGGCAAAAUGUGGCGCAAGGACGCCUGGCUUGUCGACGCCGACGGCACCGUCAACGAGGCAGGCCAGACGCUCCUCAAUCUCCAGGAGGAGUGGAAGACUGACACGCGCGGGAACGUCGACGGCGAUGGGAACUUCAAGUUUAGGGGCUUCCACGGCAGAUACGUCGUGGAGGUUACGACGGCGACGGGGAAGCAGAUGCUCAAGACCUUCACCGUGGAGAAAGGGGACAACACCCCUCUCGUCCUGGAUUUGGUCGAUGCCUGA